GAUGAACGCUGGCGGCGUGCCUAAUACAUGCAAGUCGAGCGAACAGACGAGGAGCUUGCUCCUCUGACGUUAGCGGCGGACGGGUGAGUAACACGUGGAUAACCUACCUAUAAGACUGGGAUAACUUCGGGAAACCGGAGCUAAUACCGGAUAAUAUAUUGAACCGCAUAGUUCAAUAGUGAAAGACGGUUUUGCUGUCACUUAUAGAUGGAUCCGCGCCGCAUUAGCUAGUUGGUAAGGUAACGGCUUACCAAGGCAACGAUGCGUAGCCGACCUGAGAGGGUGAUCGGCCACACUGGAACUGAGACACGGUCCAGACUCCUACGGGAGGCAGCAGUAGGGAAUCUUCCGCAAUGGGCGAAAGCCUGACGGAACAACGCCGCGUGAGUGAUGAAGGUCUUCGGAUCGUAAAACUCUGUUAUUAGGGAAGAACAAAUGUGUAAGUAACUAUGCACGUCUUGACGGUACCUAAUCAGAAAGCCACGGCUAACUACGUG
rnacentral:rRNA from 1 species